AAACCCAAUUCGAAACAAGGAGCUAGUUUUUUGCAACAUGUGCUAGCAUGUCAAUUUUGCAAACAUGAUCUAAUCCAAUUAGACCCCUGAUUAAUACCCUUUGUGUGUGACCCAUUUGAUUCCACAUCUAGCUAGCAAUAGGUCCAAGUUCAAGUCGAUUUGAUUUGAUUAGAAUUUAAUCUAACCGAUCUAGAUCCAAUCGAGCUAACCCGAUUUCAGCAAUUAGAACUCUUCCUAAUUGGUGAUUGAAUUAAACUCUUUAAUUCGAUCAAACCCAUAGAUAUGAAAUUUUUGAUAGAAAUACCAAAAAUACUCUUCAGUGGAAAGUUAUCGUGCAAUU
rnacentral:lncRNA from 1 species